UGGGGAAUAUUGCACAAUGGGCGCAAGCCUGAUGCAGCCAUGCCGCGUGUAUGAAGAAGGCCUUAGGGUUGUAAAGUACUUUCAGCGGGGAGGAAGGCGAUAAGGUUAAUAACCUUGUCGAUUGACGUUACCCGCAGAAGAAGCACCGGCUAACUCCGUGCCAGCAGCCGCGGUAAUACGGAGGGUGCAAGCGUUAAUCGGAAUUACUGGGCGUAAAGCGCACGCAGGCGGUCUGUCAAGUCGGAUGUGAAAUCCCCGGGCUCAACCUGGGAACUGCAUUCGAAACUGGCAGGCUGGAGUCUUGUAGAGGGGGGUAGAAUUCCAGGUGUAGCGGUGAAAUGCGUAGAGAUCUGGAGGAAUACCGGUGGCGAAGGCGGCCCCCUGGACAAAGACUGACGCUCAGGUGCGAAAGCGUGGGGAGCAAACAGG
rnacentral:rRNA from 1 species